rnacentral:rRNA from 1 species
AUGCUUUCGGGCAUAGUGGCGCACGGGUGCGUAACGCGUGGGAAUCUGCCCUUAGGUUCGGAAUAACAGUUAGAAAUGACUGCUAAUACCGGAUGAUGUCGAUAAGACCAAAGAUUUAUCGCCUGAGGAUGAGCCCGCGUAGGAUUAGCUAGUUGGUGUGGUAAAGGCGCACCAAGGCGACGAUCCUUAGCUGGUCUGAGAGGAUGAUCAGCCACACUGGGACUGAGACACGGCCCAGACUCCUACGGGAGGCAGCAGUGGGGCAAUUAGGACAUGGGCGCACGCCUGUAUCCAGCUAAUGCCGCGUGAGUGAUGAAGGCCUUAGGGUUGUAAAGCUCUUUUACCCGGGUAUGAUAAUGACAGUACGGGAGUAAUAAGCCCCGGCUAACUCCGUGCCAGCAGCCGCGGUAAUACGGAGGGGGCUAGCGUUGUUCGGAAUUACUGGGCGUAAAGCGCACGUAGGCGGCUUUGUAAGUUAGAGGUGAAAGCCUGGAGCUCAACUCCAGAACUGCCUUUAAGUACUGCAUCGCUUGAAUCCAGGAGAGGUGAGUGGAAUUCCGAGUGUAGAGGUGAAAUUCGUAGAUAUUCGGGAAGAACACCAGUGGCGAAAGGCGGCUCACUGGGACUGGU